CCUGCCCCUAGAGGUGUUGCAUGUAUGGCUGCUGUGUCAUGUGUGCAUCAGUAGGUGGCAGAGAGGAGAGAGUCUAUGUUCAGGCUCAGUGUUCUGGCCUAUGGACUUCUCUGAAUGAUUAGUGGCCUGACACA
rnacentral:snoRNA from 7 species